GCUCUCUUUGGCAGAACAUAUACCAAAAUUGGAACAAUACAGAGAUUAGCAUUGCCCCUGCUCAAGGAUGACAUGCAAGUUUGUGAAGCGUUCCAUAUAAAA